AACCACCUUCCCGCAAAUGCUAACAGGAUCAGGAUCAGGAUCUUGUCAUCUCCUCAAAUGGGUCUGCUAAAUCAUGGGCCUUUCUAUGCUGGCAGAUAUGUCGUUGGGUUCCUUUAUAACUCAUUACCCAAAAGUUUUCUGCUUUCCCGAGGGUUUGAUCGCUCUCCCCCUUCCUUUCAUCUACUUGAGACGAUUUCUGGACGCUGCAUUUCGUUGAAGCUUUAAGGAAAAAGGAGGUAUUGCCCAUCUCUGACAGUAUAUGUCAUGAAUAGAAAUGUGUCACUAUCAGCCUUGGGAAGUUGAUUCAUCACAAGUUGAAGAGUCUUCACCUGUGAGAAAUGGCAUGGAACGGGUCGAUGCAAGGUGGGAGACACAGAUGGUGAUGUUGGAGGCACGGAUUGCAAAUGUUGAAGCUCGGGUUGAAAGGCUUGAGGCAAGGAUGUUGUAUUUGCAAAAAGGAAUGCGUAUAGUAUGUGGUUUGUUUUUGGUCACUCUUGCAUAUGCUAUAUGCAAAUAAUUAGUUUUAGGCUUCCGCUUGUGUUUCUCAUAAUUAGAUGUGUAUUUUAAAAGGUUCUUUGUAUAAAAUUCAGAUUUUUCAUUCCAACGUGAAAAUAAGGUGGCCAUUUUGUGAUGCUGUUGUUGAUUUGUAGAGAGAAAUGAUGCAAUACAAGAUUGAGAAAUGUGAAAUGUAAACUAUGUGAAUCGUGCUCUGGGUGCCUCAAUUUACAAGAUUUGUUCAAUUCUA